CAGCGAUGUUGCGGCAGCUGGUGUCUCUGGUGUCACGGCGGCGACUUGUGUCUGGGCGCGGCUUCCGUGAAGCGCGCUCUGCUGAUGGUUUCUCGACUGGCGCUUACAAGCAGUGGUGUUGUGGGAGCUGGAUCGGCAGUGUUGACACUAUACACUAGUGGCUCUGCAGGCUCGGCGUGCGUGUCUUUCAGAGCUGCACUGACAAGGGAGGCGCAGACGGUUCUGCAAUAUUUAUAGGCACAUCUUCUACACUAUUAUGCUGGGGAUUUUUAGGUAUAAGUAUUUUAGUUACAGAUGGUGUUAAAGGGUCAUCUUUUCGACUAUAUCUUAUAUUCUUCUUAUGAGUUUCUGUUGCUUUUUCUGUUGCUUUUUUCUCAGAGACUUGCUGAAGCAACGUAUUAUAUACUACUCUCUAUAAUUUUUUAAAUUUUUUUGCUGAUUUAUCUAUAUUU
rnacentral:lncRNA from 1 species